rnacentral:rRNA from 1 species
CGGGACCCAAAAGUGGGGGACCUUCGGGCCUCAUGCCAUCAGAUGUGCCCAGAUGGGAUUAGCUAGUAGGUGGGGUAAUGGCUCACCUAGGCGACGAUCCCUAGCUGGUCUGAGAGGAUGACCAGCCACACUGGAACUGAGACACGGUCCAGACUCCUACGGGUGGCAGCAGUGGGGAAUAUUGCACAAUGGGCGCAAGCCUGAUGCAGCCAUGCCGCGUGUGUGAAGAAGGCCUUCGGGUUGUAAAGCACUUUCAGCGAGGAGGAAGGGUUCAGUGUUAAUAGCACUGUGCAUUGACGAAACUCGCAGAAGAAGCACCGGCAAGUC